rnacentral:pre_miRNA from 1 species
UAUAUACUCCCUCCGUCCCAAAAUACUUGUCGAAGAAAUUGAUAAAAAUAGAUGUAUCUAGAAUUAAAAUAUGUCUAAAUACAUCCAUUUCUCCGACGAGUAUUUUCGGACGGAGGGAGUACAUA